UGAUACAUGUCCGAGGGCUUUUCACGCAAAGUGUAUACCCCUACCACGCGUUCCAACUGGUACUUGGCACUGUAGAUAUUGCCAGAAUACCUUCCAAAAGGAAAAGUUUGUGCAACAUAAUGUCAAUGUUGUCGCUGCAGGAAGAGUUGCUGGAAUUGAUCCAAUAGAACAGAUAAGCAAGAGAUGCAUUCGAAUUAUCAAAACU